rnacentral:rRNA from 1 species
CUACGGAGGGUGCAAGCGUUACUCGGAAUCACUGGGCGUAAAGCGCGCGCAGGCGGUCUUUUAAGUUGGAUGUGAAAGCCUACGGCUCAACCGUAGAACUGCAUCCAAAACUAUUAGACUAGAGUGUGGGAGAGGAAGAUGGAAUUAGUUGUGUAGGGGUAAAAUCCGUAGAGAUAACUAGGAAUACCAAAAGCGAAGGCAAUCUUCUGGAACACUACUGACGCUGAGGCGCGAAAGCGUGGGGAGCAAACAGGAUUAGAUACCCUAGUAGUCC